rnacentral:lncRNA from 1 species
UGAGGAUCUGGCUCCAAAUUUGGAAUGAAUACUGAAACGACGAGGAUAACUGAUAAGGUCAAAUUUUAAAAUGAAAUCUGAGAUGAUGAAUACACCUGGCUAGUGUUGGCAGAACAUUAUAAUCUCAGAUUUCAUCACAAGGUUGUUCAUUUUUGAAGCUACAUGGCGACAUGAGAUAUUCAGAUUUUUAGACCUCACCAAAAUGUACUGUUAGAACACACUGUGGAUGUUGAUAUGCUGCUGGGUGCUGGCCUGCCAUCACAAGGCUAUAACCAUAUCAACGCUGACAAAGUUCUUGAGGCUAGGCUCAUCUGAGCUCAUGAUUCAUGAAGAACCUUUGUUUGCCUCCAUCGCAUGCUAAAGUGCCUGGUUAUGUAUACUGAAUAGCAUCUGGAUCCUGAGUCCUGACUGCAAGCGGCCAAAGACUGAGGAGCUAGGUAGGAACAACGGACUAAAUUCUCAUGCAGCUCAUAAGUUAAUUAUCUUGUCUCAUAAGCUUGACAAUAGUUCCUGUUUGUCAUGAAUCUUCUUUCUUCAUCACUCUUCUUAACAGUCCUUUCUUCGUAUUACUUUCAAGACAUGGUCAUUUAAGCCUACCGGUACUCUCUAUUCAACACGAUUUGAAUUUAUACAGAUUACUUAAUGGACACUAAUAUAUAUCUUUUGCCAAUGGCAGCAGGAAGAACACAUGUCUCGAAAUCUGGAAUGGCACACACUGGCUGAUGAAGAUUCUGCCAUGACCAAGACGGCGUAGCUCAGCAGCAAACCUAUGAUAGCCAAUGCUGAAAUACUGCAGUUCAUUCAGCAUCUUAGGCAAAACAGCUGCCCUCGAUAACUUUUUUUUUUUUGAUAAAGAGCAGUGCUCUCUCCAAUCCAUUAGCAGACACCACGUUGUCAUUACAGCGAGCAACACCAUCGAGAAUCUAUUGUGAAGUAAUGAUUUGUUACCAGGAAAACAAGUACUAACAAAGCUUGUGUUCUGGCUUCUAGCAAUGUUGGUUAACACUUUUAACCAUACUUGUAGAAAAGCACAAAUUAUUCUGUAGCUCGCAUGUUAUGCCAAUUGGCAAUCUUGGCAAUCAAACAUUAUAAUUUUCGAUCCAUUACAAGGGUUCUAUCAUCAGCACUAUGUUUGUGUGAACGACUUCAACUGUAUGCUGAAGGAGUUGUGCUUCUCCAUGAGCUGGCA